GUUCUAGCUAACUUAAAUCUAGUCCCCAGACUUACAUUUUGCUUUUUUCUCCCCAACAGUUAGAAUAUAUUGAUUGGUUCCAUCCAUACUUCUGUACUGAUGUAUUAGAGAAGCAGGAAGUUAGCUGUUGUUGAGUUACAUGUGGCUGUAUCCAUACUGCACCUGGGCUAGCUCAAAGAUCAUUCAUUGCAGGAGUUCCAGGAAAAGUCCAAUGCGAAAAGUGAAGCAGAGAUUCAAUAAAAAGUAGGAGGCAGCUAUUAGAGAUGAAGAAAUACAUGCAAGAUUGCACUUCACUGAGAGCAAUGUGGAAAUGUGUGUAGCUGAUCGUGUUUCAUGUGAGGAUGCAG
rnacentral:lncRNA from 1 species